UAGUUGCUGGAAUCAUUAACCCAGAUGCUGAGGGAUUUCAAAAACUCUUUUUUGGUCAAGAAGAAAUAGCCAUCCCAGUCCAUUCAUCCAUUGAAGCAGCUUGUGCCGCACACCCUACUGUCGAUGUCUUUAUCAACUUUGCUUCAUUUAGAAGUGUUGCUGCCUCUUCAAUGUCUGCACUAAAG